CCUACGGGAGGCAGCAGUCGAGAAUCUUCGGCAAUGGGCGCAAGCCUGACCGAGCGACGCCGCGUGGAGGACGAAGGCCUUCGGGUUGUAAACUCCUGUCGGGGGGGAACAAGGCGGCGCGAAGAGCGUCGCUCGAGUGAUCCCCGGAGGAAGCACGGGCUAAGUUCGUGCCAGCAGCCGCGGUAAGACGAACCGUGCGAACGUUAUUCGGAAUCACUGGGCUUAAAGCGCGUGUAGGCGGGCCAGCACGUCGGUCGCUGAAAGCCCCCGGCUCA
rnacentral:rRNA from 1 species